UCGCCUGUUUAUCAAAAACAUAGCCUAUUGAUAAAUUAUAAUAGGUUAGUCCUGCCCAGUGUAAUUAUAAAUGGCCGCAGUACCCUGACUGUGCUAAGGUAGCAUAAUCAAUUGGCUUUUAAUUGAAGUCUGGAAUGAAAGGAUUAAUGGAGUUUAACUGUCUAAUUUAUAUUAAUUUUAACUUAUUUAAAAAGUGAAAAUACUUUUUUUAAAAUAAAAGACGAGAAGACCCUAAAAGUUUUUAGAUUUUUUCUUUUUGUUGGGGCGACAAUUUAGUAAAAAAACCUAUUUUAUUAAUAAGGCGAAUUUUUUAAGUAAAAAAAAACUACUUUAGGGAUAACAGCAUAAUUUUUAAAAGUUUAUGACCUCGAUGUUGGACUAGGAACUUUAUGGCUAGCAGUCAAAAUAGAUUUAUUCUGUUCGAAUAAUAAUAUCCUACGUGAUCUGAGUUCAGACCGGA
rnacentral:rRNA from 1 species